UCAGUUUUUCCAUCGAUAGAGAUUUUUGUCAUUCUUGUUCUUGGUUAAUUAUUUUGAGAGGAUUGUGCAUGACCUCAUUGGUGCUACAGAAAGUACCCUGUGUGACACUGCAGUAUAUGUCAGGAGUAUUGCCAGGAGCUGUCAGUGUAACAGUGUAAUGUUGCACCACUGGAGACCCUGUGCACCUAACACAGGUGCUCAGAGGUGAAUUGUCAGUUUUUGGCACCUGGCUAAUAGAUUACAACUGUAGUCAUAAGUGCACUCAUUAGGAUUUCCUUCAGCAUAAUCAUCCUUAGGAUCACACUGAGCUAUUUUAAAAUUCCAUUCCUUGUGAGGGUUUUUCUUUUUCUUUUUUGCAUGAUUAUUAUUUUUUUGAAACAACGCCAUGACACUUCUUUAAAAUUCCUUCUAUACAUAUUCAUAUCUGAUUAAUGUCAGCACCAAUGCCUGAAAAAACUGAAUCCUUUGGGAUGCACAUUUUCAGAAGUUACUUUUAAAAGGACAUGUGCCAAGUACCUCAAAAGGAAAUAAAGGGGUAAAAUAUCCUAUCGAACAUUGCACUGUCACUGACAGUAUGCCAGCACACACUGAUAAACUUCUAUUGAAUCAUCUAUAUUAUUAAUCCCCGUAGACGUGCCUCUGUGGGGAUGCGUCCCGGCAACCCAGCGGAUUGGCUGGGAAGCCGAGGCGCCGGAUUGGUUGGGAAGCCGAGGCGCCGGAUUGGCUAGGCGGUGGAGCUCACGCGCGGCAGGAUUCAUGAAACUGUUGAGCUGCUGCCCAGGGAAAUGGCGGACGGGUGGCGGAUGGCGGCGGGACCAGCCAUGGCGGGCACUGCACGCCGCCAGUGUGAGGAAGCGGCAGCAGGAGCAAACGGGCCAGCAAGCCGCAAAACAAUAUUCUGUAUUCAGAAGUCCUUGUUUGAUAUCAAUAUUCAUCGAGCCAGCUGGGACUGAGGUUUGAAUUCUCUAUGCUUAGAAUAUGAAUCUACAUUUUGCAACUGAUUUCAUUUUCAUUAUGGAAGGUGCUUGAUUAUAUUUUGAAUAUAUUCCCAAAUGCAAAUGACUCCUAUUCAAAAUUAAUGGCCUGAUAUAUUUUGAAAUUGGAAUUGAGUACAUGCUGAGUGCAGAAGGAAGGAAGGAAGGAAGGAACCAACCAAUCAGAAGCUUUUGAGCUGACAAACCUCUUCUUCAGUGAAGGAUGUGUGUAAACCAUUUCAUUUUUGUCUGCUGUUCUCCCUUUACAAACUUGCAUUUUCUCUUAAUACAGUAUAUCUGUUGUAUUCUAGCUAGUAAUAUUUUAUGUUUUGUUGUUGAUGUUUUUCCCAGUGAGGAUCCUGUAGAGUGUGUGUUGGGAUGGAGUGUGUUAGUGUGGAGUCAGAAAGGAAAAGGGAGGGUAAAGAGAAAAUUGAUGAUGAUGAUGAUGAUGAUGAUGAUAUUUCUAUCCUGCUCUUCCUCCAAGGAGCCCAGAGUAGUGUACAUGGUUAUGUUUAUCCUCACAACCACCCUGUGAGGUAAGUUAAGCUGAGAGAUACGUGACUGGCCCAGAGUCACCUAGUGAGAUUCAAGUUGUUUCUGAAUACAUGCUUAGUUAAAUUACAUAAGAUUAGAGAAGUCCCUGAACUGCGGUUGAAGCACUUUCAGGAAAAAAGGACAGAGAACUUUAAGAAAAAAGAGAGCAGGUCCUUACCUGUUCUUUGCCACCCCAUUCUGCUUCCUGCUGGGGUGAUGCACAUCCCAAUAACCACCCGUGCAGAGCCAGCAUGCAAAUUGUGCCCGUGCAUGCACAGACCUGCUCUCCUUUUUCUUAGUUCCCUUUCUAAUUUCCCUAAAAGUCCUUGAACUGUGCUUCAAACCAUAGUUCAGGUACAUACCGAAUCUUACAUAAGAUUAUUUUGUGUUUAUGAGAGAAGCAGCUAUAAAUCAUCUGGUAAUGAGGCUUUGAACCAGCUAUGCGUAUGAGCCUGUAAAGCUUGUAAAUGUUCCUGCAACCCAGUUUCAUUGCAUUACCGGGCCUACAUUUCUGAACUGCUUUCUGCUAUUGCUGCUGUUGACUGUUUCUCCAGCUCCCUGACCUGUUCAACCCCUGAAGGUACUUCUUGUUCUCAAUCCUGGACUCUGUUGUUCACUGGAUGCCCAUUGCAGCAUGGCUCAGAUCCCACCAACAACCUUCUUCUUGUUCACCCCAGGAGAACCCGCUAUUCCCUGGAAUCAAUGGAGGUCCUGUUUCUGCAAUUACCUCCUCACCAUGCAGAGCCCUAAUUUUACUCCAACAAAGCAUAAGGCUAUAUUGCUUCACUGCCUGGGCCCUAAUAUAUAACCAUUUGCCCUUUCCUGUCAACUUGGAAGGGGGUGCCUAUUCUUAUUAAGCUGCUCUUCAAGCCUUAGAUAACCAUUUCAACUCUACUUAGAUUGUGAUUGCUGAGCGUUACAAGGUUUAUUCUACAUCCAAACUGCCUGGUGAAUCUAUCCAUCAGUAUGUCACAGCAUUGUGUACCUUAAUUGUAAUCUGUGAGUUUGCCAAUUUUACUAAUGAAAUUAUCAGGGAUCAGUUUGUUAUGAAAACAAACCAAUCCAAACUGCAUGAAAAACUGCUGUUGGAAUGCAAACUUACCUUGGAUACAGUUAUAGAGAUGGCUAGGAGGGUGGAAAAUACUCUUCAUGUGCCAAAUCACUCUCUUUGGUACUCCAAAUCAAACCUCCUGAAAUCCAGGAUGUUGUCUAAAUCCUUCCAAACCAGAUCUUCUCAUAUGGCUCUGCAGUCCACUCCAUUACUCAUUCAUCUUAUGAUAAGGAUGAGGCAGAUGAACCACUUCCUGACAGCGUUUUAAGUGUGACAGAAUCAGAGCCUGCUUCUCCACAUUGUCAAGUUAAACUGAAUGGACACCUAAAAGACUUCAAGACUUUGUCACCGAAUUAAAAUUAAUUCAAUUUUGUUUGUUAUAAAGGGGAGGGAUGUGUUGUAUUCUAUCUAGUAAUCUUUUUAUGUUUCGUUGUUGAGAAGUUUCUCCCAGUGGGGAUCCUGUAGAGAGUGGAGGGGGGGUACAGUCAGAAAGGAAAAGGGAGGGAAAGGAGGAUCCGCUAUAAAACAUCAUUCUUUGGAAUUAAAGGUUGGGGAAAGGCUAGAUGCUAUUCUAAAAUAAUGAGUUUAUGUGCACAAUAUGGUGAAAAAAGUGUGAUCACAUACUGGGAAGGGGAAGCUCAGCAAUGGAUUGUGAAGUCACUUUGGGAUUGUGAAGUUUGUGAGCUUAGUCUCUGCUAAAAGUCGUCUUGUAAGGUAGCUGGGCUGAAUGGGUGCAUGUCUGCAGUGGUGCAAAUUCAGCAUAAAACAAAUACAAUCAGGCUUAGGAAUAACUAUACACACACACACACACACACACACACACACAUUUUAUUUCCAAACGAGUUGUGAGAAGGUUUGUACCUUGAAGUUUUUCACACUGUGCUUUUAAAGCCCUAUAACUCGCAUCCCCUCCGAAAUAGAGGGGGUGCAUCCACAUAUCAGCCAGAUUUAUCCCAAAGUCCCUGCUAGUUAUCGGGGAGUAGUUCACACACAAUUCAGAUUUUUCACUGCACGUUAGUGUGUAGCCCGAUUUAUAUCAAGGUAAAAGAAUCCACUAUUUGUUUCAGUUUUUUGGGAGAACUUUGAGUUUGCAGUAGAGUCUCCCAGUAUACUCAUGGUAAAGCCUGGUGUGUGUAAAAGUCCCUUUUUAAUUAUACAAAAUAAGCUCUUUUCAUGAUCAGUGAGAAGAGCUUCAGGCAUGUCUGCGGGGAGAGUGGGUUAACUUACCCCUCUCCACAUACGAUCGCUGAGCUGUCCCAAAGAAACAUAUCGAGAAAUGUACAGCAAAACAUAGAAAUAGAAAAUUGCAUUGGAGCUCAGGUUUCUCCGCACUUAUCAGCUUCUUGAGUAGCAGUAUAGUAAAGAGCCAUAUGGUAUUUUACCUUAUGUUGCAAUGUGAAUGAGCUUAGGAGGAUAAAGUUAGACAAUUAUAUAGGCCACUAUCUCUGCAUGUUACACGUAAUGGUGAAAAGUGAAUGCAUGAAUGGCUUGUACUUCUGCUUUUCCACCUUCCAGUGUAAUAAGCCCAGAGGAAAAUUGCACAUCUUCUCCACACUGUGAAUUUUAGCAUAGAGAGGGGCAGUGAACAAGAUGAUGAUAAUUGUUAUUCUAUCAGGCCUCUCCAUUUUAAAAACAAAAUACCCAAAGCGGUUCACAUGGAAAUUAAAACAAAAAAUUAAAAAACAAAAUGUUAAACUUCACCAAGGAGCAGCAGAUAAUAAAAUCAUUUUACCCUGCACAAGUUAUUCCAGUGAACUUUAGUUGGCAUCCAGGUGAAGUGAAGUCCUCACUUCUGUAGCUGGAUACACCUCGAAUUGAGGGCAUGCCUGGACCAGCAACACUCCCAAAGACAACACCCCUCACUAGCAGGAAAUCAUGACUGACCUUUUCCACGCACACUCAUGUUAUACCCCAGACUGCCGUUUUCAGGACAAUUUGUAGGUACAGCUUUUUUCUGACUCUUAUGUGAUGCAUUGGAGGACUAAUCGGGCGAAAGCCGGGAACUAUUGUUUCCCGUAUGAAUGUUAUGCAGUGGAGAUUGUUGUGAAGCAGCAAUAAAUUGCAGUAUGGAAAACCUCAA